rnacentral:rRNA from 1 species
AUGACCAACCUUGCCAAAUUGUGCCAUUUUUAUACCAGUUAUGAUGAGCUUGAUAUUUGUAAUGUGGGAAAACUCAAACUCUUACAAAAGUUAAAGGUAUUUCGAGUGAACAAAGAAUGUGAAGGGUUUGAACCAAAGCAACUAGAGCAAUUGACCAAGAUAAGGGAGCUGGGCAUCUACAACCUUGAGAAAGUACAUACAAAAGAAGAAGCAGCUCAAGCAAAACUGAUAGAGAAAAACUGCUUGAAGAAAUUAACAUUAGAUUGGGAUAGCGAGCAAUCUAUUUUUGAGCCUGUUGUGGAAGCUGUGGUUCUUGAGAGCCUUCAACCACAUAGAGACCUUCAAGAGUUGUGCAUUAGAGGGCAUUGUGGCCCUUGUCCAACAUGGCUAGGUGAUAAGCUUUCUGUCGAAGAUCUUGAAUCUCUCUGUCUCGUUGGUGUUUCUUGGAAAGCUCUUCCUUCUGUAGGGAAGAUGUGGAAUCUUCGUAAACUUGUAUUAAAGAAUAUUGCCACAGUGAAGAAUUUUGUUAUAGAGCAAAGCUAUUGCAGGCUAAUCUGGUUUGAAAUUGUUGGCUUGGAAAAUUUAGAAAAAUGGGUACCAUCAGGGGACACUGAGCAUAUGUUUCCACUUUUGCAAGUACUGAUUAUUAGAGACUGCCCUAAGCUCUUGGAGUUCCCAUUUUCUAACCACAUUGAUUACCGACCAGAUCAAGACAUAGAUUGGUUUCCCAGACUGCAAGAGCUUCAGAUACAUUAUUGUCCAGAAUUAUUGUUAGUGCCUCCUAUGCCCUUGACUGAAACUCUGAGUUAUGUGAGUAUAAGGGGUGUAAAGCUACUAGAGAUGUUGCUAUUCUCAAAACCAUAUCGUGAAGUAACACUGGAUAUUGUUGGAAACGAUUAUUUGCACAACUUAGAUCAGGUGUUAGCAUUCAAUAACUUGACACGGCUUGAAAAGCUGUCACUCGUGAAAUGCCCACCUCUAGAGUUGAAGCACCAUGUGAUGCUAACCUCAUUGAAGACAUUAAUUGCAGAGAGUUCAUAUGCUCUGGUUGAGCACUUAGGAGGUCAGCGUGAUAUUGUUCAAUGUCUACCAGCCCCGCCCGUUGGAGCUUUCAACACAUAUGACGAAGGGAUCAUCGGCAUUGAGCAUGCAAGGGAUGAGUUCACCCAGAUUCUGUGCAAGGGGGGCAAUCAACUCAAGAUAGUCUCAGUUGUUGGAUUCGGAGGAUCGGGUAAGACGACCCUUGUGAAAGCAGUGUAUGAUAAGCUUAAUAUGCAAUUUGAUUGCAGAGCCUUUGUUCCUGUAUCUCAGAAUCCUGACAUGCGGAAAGUUUUCAUGCACAUUCUCAAUGAUCUUCACCUCAAGGAAAACUAUUUGGAUGACAGAGGAAAGGAUGGAGAGCAGCUCAUUCGUGAAAUAAAAAAUUUCCUUUGGACCAAGAGGUAUCUGAUUGUAAUUGAUGAUCUAUGGGACGUGAAGUCUUGGAAUAUCAUCUCUUCGAGUUUGCCAAGUAAUGAUUGUACUAGCCGGAUAAUUGUUACAACUCGUGUUGAUAAGAUAGCUGAAAAAUGUUGUUCCAAGAACAAAGACUUGAUAUACAAUAUUAUGCCUCUUGGAUAUGAGAAUUCCAAAGAACUGUUUCUAAAGAAAUGUUGUGGCUCAGAGGACAGUAGCCGUGAUGCACUUGCAGAAGUUGAUGAAAUCUUGGAAAUCUGCAGUGGUAUGCCUUUAGCAAUAAUAAGUAUUGCUUCAGCAUUUUUUCCAUUUUCUGCUGGAAAAGUAAAGGAGCAAUACCAAGAGAUAAUGAAGUCUUUACAUUCUGUGACUAGGGAAUUACAUUAUCUGGAAGAGUUCGCAAGGAUUCUGUCAUGUAGGUACUCUGACCUUCCCAAAACUCUGAGGGACUGCUUGCUGUACUUAGCUGCAUCUGCUAAGAACCAAAGAAUUCAGAGGGAUAAUUUGGUUAGGAAAUGGAUUGCUGAAGGACUUAUCCCUGAAGAUAAGGACUGUAAUCGUGAGGAAGUGGCAGGGCGAUACUUUGACGAGCUCAUCAACAGGAAUGUGAUUCAACCGGUGAAACAUGCUCACUGUCUAGGGAAAGAUACCUUUCAAGUUACCUAUAUGAUGCUCUAUGUUCUUAGACAGUUAUCGCAAAAAGAAAACUUCGCUACCUUUUUGUCCGGGUCUGAGCCACAUGUGGAAGUGAAGCCCACCCGUUUGUUUAUCCAGUCUUCUGAUUCAGAACUUCCGGCUAGCACAGACAGGGUGAAUCUAACCAAUGUUCGUUCCGUGACUAUGCUUGGUCCUGCUAAUCCAGUUUCGUUCAAGCGCCUGAAGAAUGUACAAUUGUUGGAUCUAGAUUGUUGCAAGGAUUUAGAGAACUCUGCUAUGGAUGAUAUAUGCCUAAUGAUCAAGCUGAAGUACCUGAGUCUCAAGCUGACCAAAGUCACUGCUCUUCCACCGCAAAUUGGUAAGCUGCAAAAUCUGGAGACUCUGGAUGUAAGCCGGACGCAAAUCAGCAGUCUUCCUCGAGAAAUCUCGGGUCUGCAAAAUCUGGAGACUCUGGAUGUAAGCCGGACACAAAUCAGCAAUCUUCCUCCAGAAAUCUCGAAUCUGCAAAGCCUGGAGACUCUGGAUGUAAGGCAGACACAAGUGAAAGAGCUUCCCAAGGAAGUUCUUCAGCUUCGUAAAAUAAAAUAUCUGCAUUUUGGUCAAAGUGGUUGGUUCGGAGUAAAGUUGCCUGUAGGAAUCGACCAGUUGGAGUCAGUGCAGGUGAUGGGCACCAUUGAUUCCAGAGAAUGCUCGGAAAGUGCUGUCAAGGAGAUUAGUGAGCUGAUUCCCAAAGAAGUAAAGGAGCUUCAAGUAGUCAUGUAUGAUGGACCUGCUGACAUGGACCGGAAUGAUAAGCUACUGUCUUCUGUAGGCAAGUGCAGCAAGCUUAAAUCUCUGACAAUUUAUGGUGAUUCCAAUCCGAGCGAUGAACUUUCUCCUAAAUCCCCUCCCGGAUCCCCAUACUUUCCCCAACUUGAGAAGCUAAAGGUGGCAGGACGAUUUGUGAAAGUUCCAGGGUGGAUUGCUCAGCUCACAACUCUUACUCUUCUUGUUAUCAGGGUCUGCAAACUAGAGGAGAAUGAUCUGGUGAUAAUCGGAGGCCUCCCCUGCUUGAGUGCUCUUACAGUAGCACCGGUUACCCUCCCAAGAAAGCAAGUAAACAUCACCAGCAGUGCAGGUUUCGCGAGGCUUGAGGUCUUCUGUUUUGACUGUCGCAUGCCGUGGGUAAGCUUUUGGGAGAGAGCUAUGCCAAAUCUGAAACAGCUCCAGCUAAAGCUGUAUAGCGGGCCAGCAGAUAAAGUCCCAUCAGGUAUCAUGCUCCUUGAGCGCCUCAGCACGGUGAUCCUCCUUUACUCUUCACAGUAUGCAGGCGACGACGGUGUCACUGAGACAGUUGCCGUCAUUAGGGAAGACGCUGCGAGCCAUGCUAAUCAGAUCGAGGUUUCCAUCAAUGGCGACCGAGAGAUUUUCUCCUCCAACAGAAGUGCUGACAUGGGGGUUGCUGGAACAGAAUUUGUCAAAAAUGUUAGCAGGGUGAUAACCGAAACUGAAAUCAAAGAAGUGCUAGCUUCCGAGUGA